CCGAGUACCGGGUCUUCAUGGCCCUACUCCCACCCUUUGUGUACUACCGAAUUUUCGUUGCCUUGGCGGGGUUGAUCCUGGGGCCUCACGGCCCUGGGGGACCCGCCAGGGGGACACCUCCAAACCCUUUGUAAUCGUGUCGUCUGAGAAAAAACACAAUAAGUUA
rnacentral:misc_RNA from 1 species